rnacentral:rRNA from 1 species
UACGUAGGGGGCAAGCGUUGUCCGGAUUUAUUGGGCGUAAAGGGUGCGCAGGCGGCCAAGUGUGUGAGGCGUGAAAGCCCGAAGCUUAACUUCGGAAUUGCACCUCAAACUACAUGGCUAGAGCAUUGGAGAGGGUAGCGGAAUUCACGGUGUAGCAGUGAAAUGCGUAGAUAUCGGGAGGAACACCGGUGGCGAAGGCGGGUCUCUGGGCAUCUCCUGACGCUGAGGCGCGAAAGCGUGGGGAGCAAACGGG